UUGGAUUUCAACACGAGAAGAUAGUAAGUUGUUCUAUCCUCCCUUUUCCUUUUUUUGUCCCAAACGCAUAAUAUUUAAUCCCAAAUUCUGUUUGUACUGUGUUGGUUGAUACAUGUGAUUUAUGUCAACAAAAUGGGUGUUGGUUGGAGAAGCUGGAAGUUGGUGGGUUGAGCUCUAGAAAGAUUUGAGAAAAUAAUCAAAGUCAGAAGCUUGAAUGACUUGGAAUGGGGAUUGAAGUUGAAGAAAAGUUGCAGAUCGUUGAUAGAGCUCUUUUGUGUGUGUGUGUUUCUUCAAAUAAGGUGAGUUCCCUAGAAGCUUUACAUUCAUAAUUAGUCUAGCUCUUUUAGUUUCCCUUAAUUUUCCUAUGCAUGAUAACAUUAGGAAUGUUUAGGAUAUUUAGGGAUGGACACAUGAAAUGGAUUAACUAAAUAGUAGAAUAAGCCCAUUGCAUAUUUGGUUAAACUGGAACUCGUGGAAAUUAGCAUAAUUAAUGGAUACAUAAGCUGAAUUGUACUUUAAAUGAUUUUGAAUUAUGCCGGUCUGAUAGCUUUGAAUCGGUUCAAGCACGACUUGAACCGGUGCAUAUUUCCCUUACGAACUGAAAAUAGGUGUUUCUGGGCUUAUGAGUCGGUGCAUAACCUCCAGGACAUGCUUUUAUAAAAUUUGGAAAAAAUGUAUUGGUGCAACACCUAAAUGUAUCGGCUCAAACUGAGAUCUGAGCUUCUUGCAUUGGUGCAUAGAUAUCUUGAGCCAGUGCGUAAAUUCCAGAAAUUACACUUUUGAAAACAUGGUGUUUAAUGCAUCAGUGCAAGAGUUAUGGAAUUGGUGCAUCCUGAUACAUUUUCUAAAAACCUUUGGUUGUUUAUGUAUAUGAGGUUAUAAUCAACUGUUUUUAUUUCACUAAAAACCCUCCGACAUAAAAAUUAUUUUAGUUAAUCACAUGUGACUAAAUUCCACGAAUAUGGGUCCCUCACAUGCAUUAAAAUCAAUUAAGUAUCAGGAAUCAGGACAAUUAGAAAUACCUCGGGAAGGUUUUCUUUUCUUUGGGCAGGAUAACCAUUCAGGAUUAGGAAUUAUCUUUUAGGAUUUAUCAGGAUGUUUGGUCAUUAGUACCAAUAUCUGGACGCGUGGUCAUUAGUUACCAUGCGAGGGGAUUCUUUCAGAAUCCGAAGUAUUUAAUAAGAACUGCAAGCUGAGGCGAAACCCGACGUAUAAUAUUAUUGGUAGUACGAGGACUAGGCACUCCGGGACCCGCUUGCCUUGGAGUGACCCUAUGAUUAUAAAAUUGACAAGAUAAUAAUAAGUGUUACACUUUUACUACUUUAUAUUAUUAUGUUAUGAAAACUUCAGGAUUAGAACUAUUAGAUAUUCAGAUUCAGGUUAUGUUAGAAACUAUUAGUUUCAGUUGCCCUGAUGUAGUCACCAUUAGUUGGGUAGUAGGAGCUAACUGAGGCUUAGUAGUCUCAUCCCACGCCCUUCAAUUUUUUUAGGUAAACAAGUUAACCAGAGCAACGAUCAGGCAGGAACUGAUGAUCGAGGUUGAGCUUGGAUUAACGGAUUAGAAGCUUUUCGUCUUCUUAUUUGUUUUUAUGUUAAUCUAUUCAUGUAGAAUUUAGUUCUCUUUCCGUUGUAUUAUACUGGCUUAUCACAUUAUUCUUGUGACGACUUGUAAUUCAAAUUAAUUAUUCUGUAAUUUUAAUGUACUCAGAUUUCAAUUAUAUAUGUCUCGACUAAAUAUUCUAGACAAUUUA
rnacentral:lncRNA from 1 species